CUCGGAUUCAGCGUAUAAGAAAAGGAAGUUUGGCCUGGAUCGCGACAAGCCGCCUGGCAAAGCUAACAGCAACCUUGUUGGAGCAAUUUGGACCAGAAGAAAACACUCUCAUGAGCCAGCACAGCUUGUGCCAGUAAGAUCUGGAGAUGACCAUAUCUGCUUCCAGUGACCACACAGUGAUGCUGGAAGAGAUGAUGUGCUCCCCACAAUCCACACCCAACAGUCACAACAACUGGUCAAAGU